UCCUUUGUGCGCUCCGCUCCAGCGCGUGGCUGCGGGCGGGGGCGCGACUUUGGCGCAGGCGACGCGGGCGCUCCGGGAAGCCUCUGAGCGCUUUCAUGUGGGCUGGGGGCUCCCGGCACGCGAGGCUGGCCCACGCGCACAGCCUCCCGGGGGCCGGCGGCAGCUGGAGCGGUGGCGACAACGUGCUCACAGGCUGGCUUCUUCAGGGCUCAAAGCGCCUGCCCUUGGGGAGGCAUGUGGUCCCCAGCAGGCGUUGCUCUGCGGCUGGUCUCCUCUGAGGGCGAUUCAUUGAGAAAAGUGAAAAUUAGCUACGGCAGGGAAGGGCCCGCGUGGCUUGCGACGCAACCUCGCAGAGGAUCUCUGGUCCCAGCUCCAAAGUCCCAACAGCAGCUGCCAAUCGUCUCUAUGCCGGGAACAUCUCUCCAGGCCUAAGGCAGGGGAGGGCCUCCCUGUACUCAGCAACUUGCCAUGUGAUGCGUGGGUACGAGCCAAAGCAGAGGAUCAGCACUCAUGAUCAUUGGCUUGUCUGGGAGCCCGGCUUCCUGGGAGAUAGUAUUCCCAAGCAAGUGUUAACGAUGGGCUCCAAAGUUCCCCUGUUUCCUAUGUCUGCUUUUCAUCUCUGCCCAUGCGCAGUUGCCUUUGCCACAGGGACACUCUGAGCAACUUGCCCUCCCACAGUACAUCUCCAGGGUGUUUCACAAGCUGUUCCCAGCAGGGAAAGCCCAUCCCAUCCUCCUUAAGGUCACGGGGUUGUCCUGUGUUCCCUUCAGCUGGGAGUUGCUCCCUAGAGUCUAGCAGAAUGCUACUUUUGUGCACUCCUCCGAGAAAGACUAUUUACAGUCUAGUGGCAGGCUUACCCACCCAGGGCUGUGCUAUGACUGCUCCUUUAUACAAGGGUAAGGGGUAGGCUGAAAUAGCAAGUGAGCCACUGAGUGACUGGCUGAAUGGAAGACUUGGGGAAGGAAAUCUCACUGAUAACCUACUCUCCCUGGGUGAUAUCAGAAAAACCCUGAUUAGAAGCCCAAGGAACCAGCUGUAACUCUCUUUCACUGUGCAAUGUCUGGGCCUUCAGGCUUGGGAGGUGACUGCUCUCAGUGAGGAAGGACCCACCAAGACAAAGGAGACACAGUUGCUAUCAAGAUACAGAGCCAAAGCCAGCACGUGGAACUAUUUAGAUUCUGGAAGACCAUGGAAACAAACCAAGCGUGGACAUAACGAUGUCUGUCUUUCUCUUGGGCCAGAUCACCAGACUGUCCCUGAGAACACAUAGUGGGUACAGAGAAUAACACUCCUCCCAACUCCUGUGUUCAGCUGCCAUCACUGUUUAAGAAAUAUCCAGGCUUGUCAAGAAGACCGAUGAAGAGCUUUCCCUGUGUGGCCUUUGUACAGAAACAUCAUGGGAGCUGCCCAGAUGAAGGUGCAGUACACUCUGGAUGAGACGAGAGAAGUCCAGGAGGAAGCUUGGAAAUGACCCAGAGGGAUGCAUAGGAAUGCUCUGGAUACAGAGGGACGCUUAGUGACCCUUCCAGAAGUGUCAUCUGAAACAGCAGCUUAUGAAGGCUGGGAACAGGAGAGGGACAUUCCCCAUGUCACAACCAUAUCUGCCCUCUGAAGCAGGAAUUGCAAUCCCUUUUAAGAACUGAGAUUGAACCCAGGUCCCCACGGUGUAUUUUAAGAUAUGAAAUAAAAGGAUUGGCUGUCACAGUUGUGGUUGAGAAAGAGAAGAUGCGUGCUAUGGUUUGACUGAGUCCAUAAAAUUCAUAUGCCAGUGCUACUUGAAGGUGGAGGGGGGUUCUACUGGCUUGUUUCACAUGACUUGUUUCACCAUCAUGGCUUGUACUCUGUGAAGAAAGAUACCAGCGUGGGAUUCUGCUGAGAGCUUCUGAGUCUGUUUCUAAAAACCAUUAGUUCUGGGGCUGAGGACAUAGUUGCCUGGACUAGGGCUAUGCCACUGUGAGAUGGACCUUGCCCCUAACUCCACUGAGGCUCUGGUUGCUACGAACUCCUGUCCAGACAGUGGGCAAGAAGGACUGACUCUAGCACACCUUGAGCGAUGAUGCUGGCUCCCCAGGAUCCCCACCAUUUCAGAGCCACCUCCUUCUGCCAUCUCAGACAUCUCAAGGUGUAAAGUUUUCUUCAGGAGUAAAUAGCUGGGUCUCAGAGGCUGUCUGAGGCCAGGAACUUCCCUCUGGAAGGGGCUGGCUGCUUUCACCUCCACACAGAAGCAAUCUGAACCAGUGUGGAACCACUAUGAGAGGUUACUGCCUGACUGAACCCAGAGCCCAGAUUAAAGGGUGGCUUUUUAGAAAAGGAGCAGGGUCAGGCCUUAGCAGCAUGUUCAAAAGUGUCCUCAAGCUGAGAAAGCCAGGAACAUUUUGAGCAGCUUUCAAUUAAUGGUGUUCUUCUUUUACCUUCAAGAAGCAAAAUUAAGGGGCUGGAGAGAUGGCUCAGCAGUUAAAAGCACUGACUGCUCCUCCAGAGGACCCAGGUUCAAUUCCCAGCACCCACAUGGCAGCUUACAAUGUCUGUAACUCCAGGAUCCAGUACCUUCACACAGACACACAUGCAGGCAAGCCACCAAUGAAAUAAAAAUAAGUAAAAAAGAGGAAGAAACAAAAUUAAGUUGUGACCUCUGAGAAAAUAAAGUCACCUGUUACAGACCCACCUGUGGAAGGAUCUUUUUCUAAAUGAUUUUGUUUAUCUCUCUGGAUUUGAGAAUAUAGAAACCAAGGUCAAGAGAGAAGUGGCAUUUCUGGCAACAGACAAGCUUAGGACAG